GACCCCUUGGUCAAGUGGUUAAGACACCGCCCUUUCACGGCGGUAACAUGGGUUCAAAUCCCGUAGGGGUCA
rnacentral:tRNA from 1 species